rnacentral:rRNA from 1 species
UACGGGGGGAGCAAGCGUUGUUCGGAUUUACUGGGCGUAAAGGGCGCGUAGGCGGCCACCUCAAGUCAGUUGUGAAAUCUCUGGGCUUAACCCAGAAAGGUCAACUGAUACUGCGGGGCUAGAGUGCAGUAGGGGCAACUGGAAUUCUCGGUGUAGCGGUGAAAUGCGUAGAUAUCGAGAGGAACACCUGCGGCGAAGGCGGGUUGCUGGGCUGACACUGACGCUGAAGCGCGAAAGCUAGGGGAGCGAACGGG